AUGCAGAGUAACCAGUGAGCACCUCCUCCCCUGCCCUGCUGUGCUGCCCAAGGGAUGGGGUCCUCCUUGGUUCCUCACACCAGCUCUAACCCACCACGGUGUCUCCCCAAGCCUGGCCCUAAGGAGGGAAGAUGCUUCUGGUGCUUUGGCAAAGAGUACAAGAUUGUGAGAGCCCUUCAGGUUUUGCUGAGGGCUCCUCAGAGUGAAGAGCUGCUCUUCUGG